rnacentral:rRNA from 1 species
AGAGUUUGAUCCUGGCUCAGAGCGAACGCUGGCGGCAGGCUUAACACAUGCAAGUCGAGCGGGCGUAACAAUACUGCUCCGGCAUACGGGUGAGUAACGCGUGGGAACGUACCUUUUGGUUCGGAACAACACAGGGAAACUUGUGCUAAUACCGGAUAAUCCCUUACAGGGAAAGAUUUAUCGCCCAAGGAUCCGCCCGCGUCUGAUUAGCUAGAUGGUACGGUAAUGGACUACCUAGGCGACGAUCAAUAGCUGGUCUGAGAGGAUGAUCAGCCACAUUGGGACUGAGACACAGCCCAAACUCCUACCGGAGGCAGCAGUGGGGAAUAUUGGACAAUGGGGGCAACCCUGAUCCGGCCAUGCCGCGUGAGUGAUGAACGCCCUAGGGUUGUGAAGCUCUUUUGUGCGCGAAGAUAAUGACGGUUCCGCUUGAAUAAGCCCCGGCUAACUUCAUGCCAUCAUCCGCGGUAAUACCAAAGGGGCUAGCGUUGCUCUGAAUCUCUGGGCGUAAACGGUGCGUAAGCGGGUCUUUAAGUCAUGGGUGAAAUCCUGGAGCUCAACUCCCGAACUGCCUUUGAUACUGAAUAUCUUGAGUUCCGCAGAGGUGAGUGGAACUGCUAGUGUAAAAGUGAAAUUCCUAGAUAUUCGCUAGAACACCAGUGGCGAGGGCGGCUCACUGACCCGAUACUCACGCUGAGGCACGAAAGCGUGGAGCGCACACAGGAUGAGAUACCUUGGUAGCACACGCUGUAAGCGAUGAAUGCCAGCCGUUGAUGCGUUUACUCACCAGUGGCGCAGCUAACGCUUAAGUCAUUCCGCCUGGGGAGUACGGUCGCAAGAUUGAAACUCAAAGGAAUUGACGGGGGCCCGCACAAGCGGUGGAGCAUGUGGUUUAAUUCGACGCAACGCGCAGAACCUUACCAGCCCUUGACAUGUUUGGGACCGGUCGCAGAGACGUGACCUCCUCUUCGGAGCCCGAAACACAGGUGCAGCAUGGCUGUCGUCAGCUCGUGUCGUGAGAUGUUGGGAUAAGUCCCGCAACGAGCGCACCCCCCGUCAUUAGUUGAUCCCAUUUAGUUGAGCACUCUAAGGAGACUGCCGGUGAUAAGCCGCGAGGAAGGUGGGGAUGACGUCAAGUCUUCAUGGCCCUUACGGGCUGGGCUCCACACGUGCUCCAAUGGCGGUGCCAGUGGGAAGCUAAGGGGUGACCGUUCGCAAAUCUCAAAAAGCCGUCUCAGUUCGGAUUGGGCUCUGCAACUCGAGCCCAUGAAGUUGGAAUCGCUAGUAAUCGUGGAUCAGCACGCCACGGUGAAUACGUUCCCGGGCCUUGUACACACCGCCCGUC